CCCCAGUCCGCCUCAGCAAGGAUACGAAGUACACUGAGAGGAAGAUAAGCGCGCAGCAGUCGAGGAGAGAGAAAACGAACACCACCGCCUCCAUCCUCCGCUGCCACGGCCGCCACCGCUCCUUCCGGCACACCGGCGGAACCUGAGCUGCUUUGGGAACCCUCACUACCCGAUCCUCCACCACGGGCUCACCAUCCAUUUCCCCUGUCGCUCAUCUUGUCGCCAACACCAGCCUUUGAUUUGGUUUCUACUCCUCCACCCUGAUGGGACCUCUUACUCACCGCAGUUUGCAAUGCUCAUCUCCACUUCCACUCGUCACUGAAGAAGUUCCUGCAAGCACGAAGUCCUAAGACCUCCCUUACAACCACCAUGUGUCAUGCUUAAGGAUUGUUAACCCUGGUCUCAACCCUUAUUCUCUCACCAGACGUAUCUUCCGAACACCAGCCCUUUCUUCUCUUUCAGACUAUCCAAAAAGAUUGCACCAUCAAGGAUUCCCUCUGCCCUACAGGUUGCUUUUCUGCCUACACAUAUGUCCCCAAAGAAUGGUAUAAUUCAGCCACCCUAUGUAAACAUAGCAAUCAGCCCAAAUGCCAAAAAUUUCUUACCAAACCUUUAACCAGCUUAUGCUACAGGAUUACCAAACCCUCUCCAAAGACAAUGAUCCUUAUUAAGCAUGGAAUACACCAUCGCCACUUCAGAACAAGGGCUCAUCUGAGGACUUCCUCCCAUCAAUACAAAAAUUAACUUCAUCAGCCCUAAUCAGCAGGAAGCAGUUACUGAAGACUGACCUUCACCCCUUCCCAAAUCCUCUACUGUU